rnacentral:rRNA from 1 species
UUCGCCCCGUUUUUUCAAAAACAUCGCCUCUUGCUAAACCGAAAGUAUAAGAAGGUCCCGCCUGCCCUGUGACUAUAUGUUUAACGGCCGCGGUAUUUUGACCGUGCGAAGGUAGCGCAAUCACUUGUCUUUUAAAUGGGGACCUGUAUGAAUGGCAUAACGAGGGCUUAACUGUCUCCUCUUUCAAGUCAAUGAAAUUGAUCUCCCCGUGCAGAAGCGAGGAUAGAUACAUAAGACGAGAAGACCCUAUGGAGCUUUAGACACUAAAGCAGAUCAGUAUUAAUACCCUGAACAUAGACUACGAAUAAACUGACCCCUGCCCUAAUGUCUUUGGUUGGGGCGACCGCGGAGAAAAAUAAAACCCCCGCAAGGACUAAAUGUACUACAUUCACAAACAAGAGCGACAGCUCUAACUAACAGAACUUCUGACCAAUAAGAUCCGGCAAUGCCG